UUCUAGCAAAUUUUAUAAAGUUGUUUCUGCAUACAGUAAUAUUCCUAUUACAAAUUAUGAAUCUUACAAAAUUACAUUAUUCAAUGGAAAAAAGAAAAACUAGCUCCGUAUUCAAUAGAAAUUAUGCAUACAGUAUUGUUGUUGAUAUAAGAUGUCAAAACACAUAACCAAAAAAUGAAAAAGUAUAAUGGCAUCUGUAAUUCUGCCUACCACUUUAAAGAAAUGCAGACAAACUUACGUAGCAUUAUAAGUAAGAUAUCAAUUAAGAAACGCCCUUCCAAUUAUCUACAGAUUCCUUGACUUCAAAAGUGAAGGUACCUAUGACUAUGUGGGCAUGCUACAAAAUCUUACAAGGAAGAUAAGACAGCCCCAAAAAGAUAGAAACACUGCAUAUUAUUUCCAUCAAAUUCAGCAUUUGAAGCUUACAGAUGACAGAUUUAUGACCCAACAAAUACCGCAUCUAGCGACAGAGUAAAGGGGUUACGACACACGGAUCCGUAGAUGCAUGAGGUACAGAGAUUAUAUGGCAUCAAUAAUCGUACACACGUGUUGGCCGUCGACGGCGCCGGCUACUUCUUCGCGCCGCCGGCCUUGUUCUUGGGGUCCGUGGAUGUCCCGCCGCCGCCGCCUCCCGCAGCCUGCGCCGCCUUCUUGGCGGCCUUCUCCUCCAGCGCCUUCUUAUCCCUGCGCCAAACCGAAGCACGGAGAUCUAGCAACCCGGAUCGGAUCGGGGGACAGGGCAGAUCGAACCGGGAAGGAAAAUCCGGCAAGCAAAGGCGACGGCACGCACCUCUCGCGGCGCUGCUCCGGGGUGAGCCCGUCCUGGGAGCCCUUGGCGUUGGGCUUCCGCGCCUGAGCGCGCUCGCGGUCGCGCUCCCUCUGGUUGCCGCGUGCGCCCUCGCAGUCAAGGAAGGAAACAGAGAGAGGGGAGGAAAAAAAAAA
rnacentral:lncRNA from 1 species